UUACGGCCACAUCACGUUGAGACACCGGUUCCUGUACGAUAACUGAAGUUAAGCAAUGUCGAGCCUGGUCAGUACUUCGAUGGGCGAACGCUUCGGAAUGCCAGGUGUUGCAAG